GAUGAACGCUGGCGGCGUGCCUAAUACAUGCAAGUCGAGCGAACGGACGUGAAUCUUGCUUCUCUGAUGUUAGCGGCGGAUGGGUGAGUAACACGUGGAUCACCUAUCUAUAAGACUGGGAUAACUUCGGGAAACCGGAGCUAAUACCGGAUAAUAUUUUGAACCGCAUGGUUCAAACGUGAAAGACGGUCUUGCUGUCACUUAUAGAUGGUUCCGCGCUGCAUUAUCUAGUUGGUAAGGUAACGGCUUACCAAGGCAACGAUGCAUAGUCGUCCUGAGAGGGAGAGCGGCCACACUGGAACUGAGACAGGGUCCAGACUCCGACGGGUGGCAGCGGUAGCGGAUGGGACGAAAUGGGCGAAAGCGGGACGGAGCAGCGGCGCGUGAGUGAGGAAGGUCUUCGGAUCGUAGAACUCUGUUAUUAGCGAAGAAGAUAUGUGUAAGUAGCUGUGCAGGUCUUGACGGUACCUAAACAGAAAGCAACGGCUAACUACGUG
rnacentral:rRNA from 1 species